rnacentral:rRNA from 1 species
AUUGAACGCUGGCGGCAGGCCUAACACAUGCAAGUCGAGCGGAUGAAGGGAGCUUGCUUCUGGUUUCAGCGGCGGACGGGUGAGUAAUGCCUAGGAAUCUGCCUGUUUGUGGUGGAUAACGUCCGGAAACGGGCGCUAUUACCGCAUUAGUCCUGAGGGCGUACGUGGGGGAUCUUCGGACCUCCCGCUCUCGGAUGAGCCUAGGUGGGAUUGGCUGGUUGGUGGGGUAAAGGCCUAACAAGGCGACGAUCCGUAACUGGUCUGAGAGGAUGAUCAGUCACACGGGAACUGAGACACGGUCCAGACUCCUACGGGAGGCAGCAGGGGGGAAUAUGGGACAAGGGGCGAAAGCCUGAUCCAGCCAUGCCGCGUGUGUGAAGAAGGUCUUCGGAUGGUAAAGCACUUUAAGUUGGGAGAAAGGGCAGUAAGUUAAAACCUUGCUGUUUGGACGUUACCAACAGAAAAAGCACCGGCUAACUGCGG